rnacentral:rRNA from 1 species
GACGAACGCUGGCGGCGUGCUUAACACAUGCAAGUCGAACGGAAAGGCCCUGCUUUUGUGGGGUGCUCGAGUGGCGAACGGGUGAGUAACACGUGAGUAACCUGCCCUUGACUUUGGGAUAACUUCAGGAAACUGGGGCUAAUACCGGAUAGGAGCUCCUGCUGCAUGGUGGGGGUUGGAAAGUUUCGGCGGUUGGGGAUGGACUCGCGGCUUAUCAGCUUGUUGGGGGGGUAGUGGCUUACCAAGGCUUUGACGGGUAGCCGGCCUGAGAGGGUGACCGGCCACAUUGGGACUGCGAUACGGCCCAGACUCCUACGGGAGGCAGCAGUGGGGAAUAUUGCACAAUGGGCGGAAGCCUGAUGCAGCAACGCCGCGUGCGGGAUGACGGCCUUCGGGUUGUAAACCGCUUUCGCCUGUGACGAAGCGUGAGUGACGGUAAUGGGUAAAGAAGCACCGGCUAACUACGUG